CUGGAAUGGAGUAUGGUCUGGAUAGGAAGCUCCAGAUCUCUCCCCAGUGCAGAGCACUGGACCGUGCACCCCAGGCUGCUGCUGGGCUUCCCUUUUGCAGAAGAGAGAUGGUCAAGGUCAGCACCGAGAUGAAGGUGCCUGACAAAGAAGCAGAGCUGGCUACCGAGAAUGUCCUGUGCUGCAAGCAUCCACAAAGAGAAGAGGGCAGUGCUGUCGACCUCAGUGAAUUUGUUGAAUGCCCACCAUUACCCGUGAGGCUGGACAGCAGGUCUGCAAUAUAAACAGAAAACAAGUACACUUCUUGCCGAGAAUUUCAAAGUCCACAGGAUUCGAACUCUUUGUUACCAACCUGACACCUAGUUAGUCUGAAAAAUCACGUGUUAUCUGGGGUCUUGGGACAGAAGUAAAGGCAAGGCUAAAAAACGUCCUGAAACUCUGUCUCCACAGCCAUCAUCUUGAGGGCGGCGGGCCCACUGGGGCCUGGGAACCCUGGAGCCCCACACUCCCUCACCCUCACAUCAGGUCAGCGUCUACAACGCUGGGCAGAGCAGGGCGGCUGCCCCCAGGGCUUCCCCCUUGGUGGCUGCAUGGCCUCUCCUUAACAAGGAGACAGGUGGUUCCUUGAAGGUCCUGCCCGGAUGUUCAGGGUUCAGACAACCCAUGAGUCGCAGGGAUUCAGUGUCUUGCAACUUUCAAACUGCUGAGCGUCUUGGGGUCAGAAAUGUUUCCAGAUUGGAAGUAAAGAAGCAGAACUUACUGAUGAGCUGUAAGGAAAUAGGACGGUCAGUUUGCCUUGCUGCCUGUGCCAUCUUCAAUAGUCCAGCUUUGGGGACUGCUCCACCAAAGCUCCUCCAGCCUGGCUCUGUCUCCUGAGCACUCUCAGCCACCACCCACCCCACCCGCCAUUGAGUAGGAGCUUCGCACACAUGUAAACACUGAGAAGCAAGCGCCAUCUCCCACUGAGAGGGACAUGGCACAAAACACACCUGCACUAUGACUGCUCAGGAGACAGCUGUUCUGCCUCACCACCCAGAACUCAGGUGGACACUGGAGUCUCCGCCCGCACACACAGAGGUGGGGGGCCGCUGUGUGGAGUAUGAGCUCCCCACGGCUCGGGCACAGUAAGAGCUGCACUCCAGCCCCCCCCGCCCCUACAGAGCUCUGAGCACCAGGAAUUGUCACACGGUGGGGAUCUCUCCCCCGUGGGGAAAUGCUGUCUCUUGGGAAGCUGCGCCAGUGGCCUCGAGGCCCUUGUGUCUUGAAGGUUCUGUCCUGUGGACUCUAAGGAUGAGACGUUCAUCUCCACUGUGGGCUACACCAGUGACCACCACACACAAGUAAAGAGAGCUGGUCACACUCCAGGGCUCCUCCACCCUGUGAAGAGUGGACCUGGUGCAGGUGGAGAGACCACCAAGUCCCAAGGCUAUGGUGAUGUUUGUCCCCAGAAGCUUUGCAGUUGCUAGAUCACUGGAGUGUCCACUCCAGCCUGAGAAGUCGUAGGAAAGCUCCGUUAGGUUUCACUAAAACCUUCCAGGGGCCCCACCUGGCACCCAAUGACGUUUAAUCUACAUAAAAUAGCACAGCACAACGUUGCAGAUAGAUUCUUCUCUAAUGCACAGAGUUGGUCCCUUCAGGCGGGAGACGACUGCCAGGCGAUGCACCUUGAAAUGUACUUUUAGGAUGUUUUGAGUUUCUGUGUUCCUGAGACCCACAGGGUCAUUCUCUCAUUAACAUGAUACCCUCCGCUUUCUGCGCGGGUUUCUUGGAUGCUUGCACACAUUCAUCACGCCUUCUCUCCUUCUGUGCAGUUGUUCUCUCUCCUCCUCUCUUCAAGGUGUCCUAUUCAGGAUGGUUUAUCUUAUUUAUUUUACUAUUUCACUUUAAGACAGAAGCCAACAAUUAAAAACACACAGAAGCCUCCAACAGAAGUCGGAAGGCAUUCAGGGCUCCCUGUUUUGUCUCACUGGGAAGCACCAAGGAACGCAGGGCAGGUGGGGUCUCUUCACUUUGCGCCCUAGGAGAGUCUAGAGAGAAAUGCUUAGCUGCCACCCCAGGCAACUUGCUCCUCUGGACACCAGUCCAGGAGUGGGAGGUGGGGGGACAUUCUGGAAGAAGGGACAAUGCAGCCUCUCUGUUCCAUCUCCCAUUCUGGUCGAGCAGGAGACCUUGACGCAAAGAGGUUCCUCACAUGCUGUCCCCACAAAGGAAAUCAUUCAUGCAACUGCGUUUAGAAUCCCGACUUUUAAGAACUUUGUGUCCAAGGCCUCUCUCACUGGAGAUGAUUAGAAGUGCAUGGAGCAAGGGCCUUCCCUUGGAUGGAGUUGGAGACGUAUUUGUUGAGAGGAAGCUGCCGGCUCCCCAGCCCCACCCAGAACCCCAGCUUGGAGCUCCUGGUUUCUAUGGCCCCCCAACAGCGGGCAGCGUGGCUCCCUUUCCUCAGUGUGGAAGGUCCCAGCCAGGAGGUGAGACGGAGCCUGCGUAAUGUAAUGGAGCCGCAGCUGCUGGAGCGCUUCACCUGUUAAGGCUGAGGGUCAUGUGAACGAAGGGCUGUUGAGCUUGCCAGAGCCGCGGGGACAGGACAUGCUGGACACAGGCUGUCCACGAGGAGGCUGCCGGUGUCCUCCCAUACACGGGGUCAACCUCUUCCCCGCAGAACUUGAGGUUGUAACACUGAGGUGGGCGAGGACGCUUCUCCAAGGCACAACCCAGCCCUGACUGGUGGUGUCUAGGGCCAGAGUGCACUUCCCUAGCUGGUCAAAGACCAUCCGCACCGCCGAUAAUCACAACACAAAUCGUCAGCUUGCUCCGAUUCUCGUUUCACAUACCACCUUCUAUUCAGUGGAGAAUUCCGAGUGUAUGAAGUGACACUACAGAUGUGCCUUGGAGUCUCUUCUAGGGGAGUGGUGUUAGCAACACAAUCUGAGUUUUCUUUGAAAGAAACCUGAGAGUCUUUGUCCUUGUUGUGUGGCGCUCGACCAUCCUUGCAGGGGCGCAAGCCCUGAAUGUGAGUCACCUACCAGGGGUCAGUAAGUCCCUUGGUCUCGGUGGUCAUCGGUGGUGCUCCCACCGUCCUGCGGAGCAGGUCUGCUUAGGAGGGUGCUCUUUCUGCUUCUGUCUCUUCUUCACCACUUUGCAGUUCUCAAAUCCAUGCUGGCUCACGCCGGGCUGUCUCCCAGAGGGGCCACUGGCAGGACAGUGCAGUGCGCUGACCGAGGCCGGGCCCAGGUUAGACAAGAGGUGCUCUGAUUUGCUGGUGCCCGGGAGCAGGCGGCCUGGUGGAGACUGAAGAGAGGGUGAGAGCUGCAGGGUCGCUCCAAAGCCCAUCUCCCCCAGCACGUGAAUUCCUCCAAGGCUUGAGGGUAAGAAGCCCACACAGUGACCUGGGGACACGAGGGCAGAAUGCUGGAAGGGACCUCCCAAGACCUCGACCCCACAGAGCUGCAGGUCUGAGACACGGGUGCCCGUGCAGCCAUGUAUGGCCACAGAGUUGGAAUCAUUUAGUGUUGUUGUUGUUACUUUGUAACUGUCCCCCCUUUUUAUUGAUUAUUUUCUUUCUCUGCCUUCAAACAUUCCUUCCCUCACUGUGUCAUAAACCAUGUUGAUUCUGUGUUUCAUCUUUUGCCCAAGUUUUUUGUUUAAAGACAUAUGUAAACAUUCUCUGAGGAAUUUUAUUUUAGAGGAAGAGAUUGAUC
rnacentral:lncRNA from 1 species